CCUACGGGAGACAGCAGUCGAGAAUCAUUCACAAUGGGGGAAACCCUGAUGGUGCGACGCCGCGUGGGGGAAUGAAGGUCUUCGGAUUGUAAACCCCUAUCAUGUGGGAGCAAAUUAAAAAGAUAGUACCACAAGAGGAAGAGACGGCUAACUCUGUGCCAGCCGCCGCGGUAAUACAGAGGUCUCAAGCGUUGUUCGGAAUCACUGGGCGUAAGGCGUGCGUAGGCUGUUUCGUAAGUCGUGUGUGAAAGGCGCGGGCUCAACCCGCGGACGGCACAUGAUACUGCGAGACUAGAGUAAUGGAGGGGGAACCGGAAUGCUCGGUGUAGCAGUGAAAUGCGUAGAUAUCGAGAGGAACACUCGUGGCGAAGGCGGGUUCCUGGACAUUAACUGACGCUGAGGCACGAAGGCCAGGGGAGCGAAAGGGAUUAGAUACCCCAGUAGUC
rnacentral:rRNA from 1 species